UUUUAGUUAGUAUAGAUGCUUACAUCGACUUGUAAAGUCGAAGACCAAAUUUUUGACUGAAAA
rnacentral:tRNA from 1 species